AAGGCCGAAGCUUGCUUCGGUGCUCGAGUGGCGAACGGGUGAGUAACACGUGGGUGAUCUGCCCUGCACUUUGGGAUAAGCCUGGGAAACUGGGUCUAAUACCAGAUAGGACCACGUCUUGGAUGGUGUGGUGGAAAGUUUUUUCGGUGUGGGAUGAGCUCGCGGCCUAUCAGCUUGUUGGUGGGGUAAUGGCCUACCAAGGCGUCGACGGGUAGCCGGCCUGAGAGGGUGUACGGCCACAUUGGGACUGAGAUACGGCCCAGACUCCUACGGGAGGCAGCAGUGGGGAAUAUUGCACAAUGGGCGCAAGCCUGACGCAGCGACGCCGCGUGGGGGAUGACGGCCUUCGGGUUGUAAACUCCUUUCGCCAGGGACGAAGCG
rnacentral:rRNA from 1 species